rnacentral:rRNA from 1 species
ACGACGCUGGCGGCGCGCCUAACACAUGCAAGUCGAACGAGUGGCGUUCCUUACGGGAACAAAGCUAGUGGCGGACGGGUGAGUAACACGUGAGGAACCUGCCUUUCAGAGUGGAUACCGUUGGAAACGAACGUUAAUACCGCAUAAUGUACAAUUGUCGCAUGGCAUAUGUACCAAAGAUUUAUCGCUGAGAGAUGGCCUCGCGUCUGAUUAGAUAGUUGGUGAGGUAACGGCCCACCAAGUCUGCGAUCAGUAGCCGGACUGAGAGGUUGAUCGGCCACAUUGGAACUGAGACACGGUCCAGACUCCUACGGGAGGCAGCAGUGAGGAAUAUUGGUCAAUGGUCGGAAGACUGAACCAGCCAAGUAGCGUGAAGGAUGAAGGUUCUAUGGAUUGUAAACUUCUUUUGUAUGGGAAUAAAGCCCGCUACGUGUAGCGGUUUGUAUGUACCAUACGAAUAAGCAUCGGCUAACUCCGUG